CACGUAGGGUGCGAGCGUUGUCCGGAAUUAUUGGGCGUAAAGAGCUCGUAGGCGGUGUGUCGCGUCGGCCGUGAAAACCUGCAGCUUAACUGUGGGCUUGCGGUCGAUACGGGCAUCACUGGAGUUCGGCAGGGGAGACUGGAAUUCCGGGUGUAGCGGUGGAAUGCGUAGAGAUCCGGAAGAACACCAGAGGCGAAGGCGGCUCGCUGGGCUUGGUCUGACGCUGAGAAGCGAAAGCAUGGGGAGCGAACAGG
rnacentral:rRNA from 1 species